GAUGAACGCUGGCGGCGUGCCUAAUACAUGCAAGUCGAGCGAACAGACGAGGAGCUUGCUCCUUCGACGUUAGCGGCGGACGGGUGAGUAACACGUAGGUAACCUACCUAUAAGACUGGGAUAACUUCGGGAAACCGGAGCUAAUACCGGAUAAUAUUUCGAACCGCAUGGUUCGAUAGUGAAAGAUGGAUUUGCUAUCACUUAUAGAUGGACCUGCGCCGUAUUAGCGAGUUGGUAAGGUAACGGCUUACCAAGGCAACGAUACGUAGCCGACCUGAGAGGGUGAUCGGCCACACUGGGACUGAGACACGGUCCAGACUCCUACGGGAGGCAGCAGUAGGGAAUCUUCCGCAAUGGGCGAAAGCCUGACGGAGCAACGCCGCGUGAGUGAUGAAGGUCUUCGGAUCGUAAAACUCUGUUAUUAGGGAAGAACAAACGUGUAAGUAACUGUGCACGUCUUGACGGUACCUAAUCAGAAAGCCACGGCUAACUACGUGCCAGCAGCCGCCGUAAGAC
rnacentral:rRNA from 1 species